UUACCAUACCUUUGAUAAGCAAUAAGUGAAGAAGAGAAUGAAUGAAAAUUGUUAGAAGGUUACUUUGUUUAUUUUAUUUUAUUUUAUUUUAUUAUUAUUUUUUUGUUUACGUGUUAUAACUUCUAAAAACAUUAAACUAUAAUGCCAGGGGUAAGCUGACAGUGCGGCAGGUACAGUAGGCUUACCUUUUAUUUUGAGACUGCAUUGCCGCUAUCCUGAUGCUCACGCUUUGAUGCCACACACGUGCUCCUCGCUAACUUAACUUACGUAAACAAACAUCAAUCCCGCGGGCGAGAAUUCGUAUUUGUGGAUGAUUGUGAGUUAGCAACGAUUAUAUUUCAGUAUGUUUAUACAACAAUAAACAUAUUUAAAAUAUGUUUAGAGCUUGACAUCUUGCAUUCCUCAUGUGCCAAACUUCAUGACUUGUUGAAACUACACGAGGAUUUCCAGGUUUAUCUGAUGUGCUGUGACAUAUACAGAAAAUCUCAUCGCGCUGCAGUUUUCAUCCAUCUCAGAAUGUGCUGCUGCUCUGAACGUAUCUUUGGGCUGUAGCGUUGUGACUGUGUUCCAAGAAAUCCAUUUACUCUUUUAAAGUCGACACUGAAGAGGCUUGUUCACGCU
rnacentral:lncRNA from 1 species